GUGGGGAAUUUUGGACAAUGGGCGAAAGCCUGAUCCAGCCAUGCCGCGUGCAGGAUGAAGGCCUUCGGGUUGUAAACUGCUUUUGUACGGAACGAAAAGACUCCUUCUAAUAAAGGGGGUCCAUGACGGUACCGUAAGAAUAAGCACCGGCUAACUACGUGCCAGCAGCCGCGGUAAUACGUAGGGUGCAAGCGUUAAUCGGAAUUACUGGGCGUAAAGCGUGCGCAGGCGGUUAUAUAAGACAGAUGUGAAAUCCCCGGGCUCAACCUGGGAACUGCAUUUGUGACUGUAUAGCUAGAGUACGGUAGAGGGGGAUGGAUUUCCGCGUGUAGCAGUGAAAUGCGUAGAUAUGCGGAGGAACACCGAUGGCGAAGGCAAUCCCCUGGACCUGUACUGACGCUCAUGCACGAAAGCGUGGGGAGCAAACAGGAUUAGAUACCCUGGUAGUCC
rnacentral:rRNA from 1 species